CGGCAAGGCCCGCCCCUUUGGGUGAGUGGUUGGCUGAGGGAAGCUUUUCCGGUGACCCAUUUCCGUUACUUGCGCUGUGGACCGGGGCCGCCGGGGUCGGUGAAGGAUCUCAAGAUGGCUGGGCGAAAACUUGCUCUAAAAACCAUUGACUGGGUAGCUUUUGGGGAGAUCAUACCCCGAAACCAGAAGGCCGUUGCUAACACC